rnacentral:rRNA from 1 species
GGCGGACGGGUGAGGAAUACAUCGGAAUCUACUCUGUCGUGGGGGGAUAACGUAGGGAAACUUACGCUAAUACCGCAUACGACCUACGGGUGAAAGCAGGGGAUCUUCGGACCUUGCGCGAUUGAAUGAGCCGAUGUCGGAUUAGCUAGUUGGCGGGGUAAAGGCCCACCAAGGCGACGAUCCGUAGCUGGUCUGAGAGGAUGAUCAGCCACACUGGAACUGAGACACGGUCCAGACUCCUACGGGAGGCAGCAGGA